GAGGGUGUAGCUCAGUGGCAGAGCACACGCCUGGCAUGCCCGAGGUCCUGGGUUUGAUCCCCAGUGCUUCCA
rnacentral:tRNA from 1 species